AUGUUCUGUUUCAGAGAUUCUGCGGUUGAGGGGAACUCCCUCCAACAGAAAGUCUCAAUUGUUGAACGUAAAGUCCAGGAAAUCACCUCGCUGACCAGCCAGCUGCAAACCUUCACCGCUGAGCUGGAAGGCAAGAAAAACCUGAAAGAAACCUACGCUGGACUGAAGAAGGCAAAGAAAUCAGCCUCCAAAAUGGUCAAGCAGCUGGAAAAAGACCUGCAACGUGUCAGCAAGAAACUCCAGGACCAAAAACCUCUGGAGGACCGUUGCAAGGAACAGCAGCAAAAAGUCCACCUCCUGACUGAGACCAACACCAACCUCAAAGCAACUCUUCAGGAACUCCAGACCAGAGUUCGGGAUCCUCAAGAGUUAUCCAGUGAGUUACAGAAAGCCAAGCUCACUGCUGAGUGUCUGAGUCAGGAGAACCAAGAUUUACUGGAAGAGGUUCAGAGGGUCCAAACCUCCAUCACGGCCCUUGAACCUCAGGAGAAGCAGCUUGAGGAGGAGAGAGAUCGCCUCCAAACGCUGCAAGAGCAAAACCUCCUUCUCCAGAGCCAGUUACAAGAUCUCCAGAGACACCGUGAGGAGGAGGCAGCAAUUCAACAACGCUAUGCCUCCAUCCUGGACCAAACCAAGUCUCUGGAGGACCAGAACUCAACACUGGACUCUGAAAUCCUUCAGCUCACUCUGCAGUCUGAGGAGGCCAAACCAUGUGUUCAGCAGCUCCACCAGAUCACCACCAACCUCCAUGGACUGCAACAAACCAACGCUGACCUCAUGGAGAAACGGGACCACCUUGAAAAGGAGCAGGAACAGCUCCUCAAACGACAGCAGGAAUGUCAUCAGGCAAAAGCACAAACUCUCAAUUUGGAAAAGAAAAAUGAAAAACUCACCAAAGAACUCAAAGCCCUCCAGGAAAACUAUAAAAAGGAGCAACAGCAACACUUCCAACUGGAAAGCCAGUAUGGUCGAAGAAAAACAAGAGAUCUGAAAUUGGAACAGCAAAAUCAACAUCUUAUCAAAGAAAUACAAGAAUUUGAGGAAAAACUCAAACAUCUGGCUGAACUCAAAGGCAAAGUUACUGCAACAAAAACCGAUCGAAAAACCGUCAUGGAGGAAAAACAAGCCCUCAUCUCCAAGCUACAGAAAAUAAGAGUGGAGCAUUACAAAGCAACGGCAUUCAUGCGGGAAGAGUUUCGAGUCACUGCAGAAGUCCUGGAAGAGAAAAACAACAAAGAAACCGAAUGGAUCCAGUCUGAGCGGGAUCAUAAUGCUCUACUUAACGAAUUACUUUUAGAUCUACAGAAGAAAGAAACUGAAGUGAAACAAUUGGUUUCUUCUCUCCAAGAUGAUAAAAAGGCUUUGCAGAGAGAAGUCCACAGCCUCAAGCAGCAGAUCCAGGACUCCAGGCCGAUGACUGAGCACUUAGUAGGAAAGGACAAAGCCUCAGAGCGUGAAGGAGAACCACUGAACACUGCUUUGAGGCCCCCUCUACGAGCUCCAGGACGCAUUCCUGCUCCAAAAGCAAGUCAGCCUGUGUUGGAAGAACCUCCUAACUUCAGAGAAAGGACCGGCAGGUUCCAGCAGCACAGAGCUGCACUUGGAAACCAUCAGGGUGCUGCACCAUGGAGGGUCUCUGGUACCCAGUGGGGACAAGACCCUACGAAAUACUAG
ensembl:lncRNA